UCUCCUGUAGUACAGAGGUUAGUAUGGGGGCUUGUCAACCUGUGUUGCUUCGCCCUUGACCUGGGUUCGAAUCCCAGCAGGAGAG
rnacentral:tRNA from 1 species